GAAGGGACCUAGCGUAGUUCGGAAUUACUGGGCUUAAAGAGCUCGUAGGUGGUUAAAGAAGUUGGUGGUGAAAUCCCAAGGCUUAACCUUGGAACUGCCAUCAAAACUUUUUAGCUAGAGUAUGAUAGAGGAAAGUGGAAUUUCUAGUGUAGAGGUGAAAUUCGUAGAUAUUAGAAAGGACACCAAAAGCGAAGGCAACUUUCUGGAUCAUUACUGACACUGAGGAGCGAAACGUGGGUAGCGAAGAGAUUAGAUACCCUCGUAGU
rnacentral:rRNA from 1 species